rnacentral:rRNA from 1 species
CCUACGGGAGGCAGCAGUGGGGAAUUUUCCGCAAUGGGCGAAAGCCUGACGGAGCAAGACCGCGUGGGGGAAGAAGGCUCUUGGGUUGUAAACCCCUUUUCUCUGGGAAGAACAAAAUGACGGUACCAGAGGAAUCAGCAUCGGCUAACUCCGUGCCAGCAGCCGCGGUAAGACGGAGGAUGCAAGCGUUAUCCGGAAUGAUUGGGCGUAAAGCGUCCGCAGGUGGCAGUUCAAGUCUGCUGUCAAAGACCGGGGCUUAACCUCGGAAAGGCAGUGGAAACUGAACAGCUAGAGUAUGGUAGGGGCAAAGGGAAUUCCUGGUGUAGCGGUGAAAUGCGUAGAGAUCAGGAAGAACAUCGGUGGCGAAGGCGCUUUGCUGGACCAUAACUGACACUCAGGGACGAAAGCUAGGGGAGCGAAUGGGAUUAGAUACCCCAGUAGUCCUAGCCGUAAACGAUGGAUACUAGGUGUUGUCUGUAUCGACCCGGACAGUGCCGUAGCUAACGCGUUAAGUAUCCGCCUGGGAGUCGCACGCAAGUGNGAACUAANGAUGCGNUGAGAGNGCGAGACGACGACGAGGAGAGG